rnacentral:rRNA from 1 species
GCUGGCGGCGCGCCUAACACAUGCAAGUCGAACGAUCGAGAGAGAGCUUGCUUUCUCGAGCGAGUGGCGAACGGGUGAGUAACGCGUGAGGAACCUGCCUCAAAGAGGGGGACAACAGUUGGAAACGACUGCUAAUACCGCAUAAGCCCACGGGUCGGCAUCGACCAGAGGGAAAAGGAGCAAUCCGCUUUGAGAUGGCCUCGCGUCCGAUUAGCUAGUUGGUGAGGUAACGGCCCACCAAGGCGACGAUCGGUAGCCGGACUGAGAGGUUGAACGGCCACAUUGGGACUGAGACACGGCCCAGACUCCUACGGGAGGCAGCAGUGGGGAAUAUUGCACAAUGGGGGAAACCCUGAUGUAGCGACGCCGCGUGGAGGAAGAAGGUCUUCGGAUUGUAAACUCCUGUUGUUGAGGAAGAUAAUGACGGUACUCAACAAGGAAGUGACGGCUAACUACGUGCCAGCAGCCGCGGUAAAACGUAGGUCACAAGCGUUGUCCGGAAUUACUGGGUGUAAAGGGAGCGCAGGCGGGAAGACAAGUUGGAAGUGAAAUCCAUGGGCUCAACCCAUGAACUGCUUUCAAAACUGUUUUUCUUGAGUAGUGCAGAGGUAGGCGGAAUUCCCGGUGUAGCGGUGGAAUGCGUAGAUAUCGGGAGGAACACCAGUGGCGAAGGCGGCCUACUGGGCACCAACUGACGCUGAGGCUCGAAAGUGUGGGUAGCAAACAGGAUUAGAUACCCUGGUAGUCCACACUGUAAACGAUGAUUACUAGGUGUUGGAGGAUUGACCCCUUCAGUGCCGCAGUUAACACAAUAAGUAAUCCACCUGGGGAGUACGACCGCAAGGUUGAAACUCAAAGGAAUUGACGGGGGCCCGCACAAGCAGUGGAGUAUGUGGUUUAAUUCGACGCAACGCGAAGAACCUUACCAAGUCUUGACAUCCCUUGACGAUGCUGGAAACAGUAUUUCUCUUCGGAGCAAGGAGACAGGUGGUGCAUGGUUGUCGUCAGCUCGUGUCGUGAGAUGUUGGGUUAAGUCCCGCAACGAGCGCAACCCUUAUGGUCAGUUACUACGCAAGAGGACUCUGGCCAGACUGCCGUUGACAAAACGGAGGAAGGUGGGGAUGACGUCAAAUCAUCAUGCCCUUUAUGACUUGGGCUACACACGUACUACAAUGGCGUUAAACAAAGAGAAGCAAGACCGCGAGGUGGAGCAAAACUCAGAAACAACGUCCCAGUUCGGACUGCAGGCUGCAACUCGCCUGCACGAAGUCGGAAUUGCUAGUAAUCGUGGAUCAGCAUGCCACGGUGAAUACGUUCCCGGGCCUUGUACACACCGCCCG